rnacentral:rRNA from 1 species
GACGAACGCUGGCGGCGCGCCUAACACAUGCCAGUCGAACGAGCGAGCGAGAGCUUGCUUUCUCAAGCGAGUGGCGAACGGGUGAGUAACGCGUGAGGAACCUGCCUCAAAGAGGGGGACAACAGUUGGAAACGACUGCUAAUACCGCAUAAGCCCACAGGUCGGCAUCGACCAGAGGGAAAAGGAGCAAUCCGCUUUGAGAUGGCCGCGCGUCCGAUUAGCUUGAUGGUGAGGUAACGGCCCACCAAGGCAACGAUCGGUAGCCGGACGGAGAGGCUGAGCGGCCACAUCGAGGCUGGGCCACGGCCCAGACUCCUACGGGAGGCAGCAGUGGGGAAUAUUGCACAAUGGCGGAAACCCUGAUGCAGCGACGCUGCGUGGAGGAAGAAGGUCUUCGGAUUGUAAACUGCUGUUGUUGAGGAAGAUAAUGACGGUACUCAACAAGGAAGUGACGGCUAACUACGUG